UUAAUGGAAGAGUAAUUCUACGGUCCUUGAGGAGGUACCAUGAGGUACUAAAAUUUUAGUGUAAAUUUUAGUACCUCAUAGUACCUAGGUACCAUGAGGUACCAAAUUUACAAUAGAAAAAAUGGUACUUCAUGGUACCUCAUUAAGGACCGUAAAAUUGCUCUUAAUGG
rnacentral:misc_RNA from 1 species